UCAGGAAGCGACUGUGAUCAUAUUAGUGAGACAUGAUAUGACUUGGCCGUCUGGCAAGGGUGGGUGAGGUCAGAAAUAGUCAGAGUCUAGACCUAACACUAGAUGACCUGAUUUGCUGAUCACCUGAAUGUGGCAUGUGAGAAAAAGAAGAGAGACAAAGGUGGUUUUGAGAUUUUUGGCCUGAGCAAUUGCAAGAAUGGAGCUGUUUGACAUUAAUGGCAGGGAGAAGGGGUUGGAGGAGCAGCGUGGGAGGCACCGUCAGGAGCCCGGUGCUGGAUGUGUCUAUCUGAGGUGCCUGUUGGUCACCCAAGUGGUAGAGGACUCCAAGUGGAGACUGGAGCUCAUGAGAGGACAGUAGUCAGAUACGCAUUUGGUGCCCACAGUAAAUAGACGGCCAUUAAGGUCAUAAGACAGAAUGAGAUUAGCAACGAAGUGCAGACAAAAGACAGAGAGAGAAGUCAAGGCCUGAGCUUUGAGACCUCCAGCAUGAGGAGGCCAGGGAGAUGAGGAAGACCAGAAAAAUAGUCUGGGAAAGAAAGGCCCAGGCAAAAGGAAAACCAGGAGAAUGGGGUGUGCUGGAAGUAGACGCAGCGUUUGAGGGGAGGAAGGAGUGGUUAUCUGUGUCGAGAUGAGGGCUAAAAAUGACCGUUGGUCUUAGCCAGGUGGCGGCCACUGCCGGGCCCCAUCUUCUGCAGAGACAACCCUUCGAUGUGCUUUGAUCGUGUCUCCUGGCCCCUGCCUUAGCCACAGGGGCAGGAUCAUGGGCCCAGGCCUGGCCAAUCAUGUGACCUUUUCCCCUGGCCACAGUGAUUGGUUUAGAGAUGAGCAUGUGGCCCACACUGGGCCGAGUAGAUUUUCUCGGGAGGUUUUCUCCUGGAGCUGCUAAGUGUUGGGAUGUAAGUCAUGGCCUCUCGCAGACAUCCUGCCUGUCAGGUGGACUCACUCUUUCUAAGAUAGAGAGAGAGAGAUCCCUGAAAAUAGCAUUUGAACCAGUUCUGGAUCCAGCUCUGCCCAAAGCCUGCUACUCCCUUGGGCUAAAUUUCAUUUCCCAGCCAAUAAACUCGCUAUUUUUAAGCUAGUUGAAUCAGCCUCUGUCUCUUGCAUCCAAAAGUGCUCUAACUAAGAAUCCAAGGAGAGUUCUCUGGAGUCCGCUACUCAAUAGUGGGAGCAAGUGUGCGGAAGGGCGUGUUGCUGACUCACUGGCCACACAAAGACUGACCAGAGAGGGCUUUGAGCCACUGCUCAAAGACGCUGGCAGUCCUUGCCGGGCAGCCCUCUAAAUGAAACCUUAUUAAGCAACCCCUGGCUUCAACACUAUUCUUAGCUGCCUGGAAUUGCGUGGAGGAGGCCAGCCGGGGCACAGCCAAACAGGGUCACCUCCCUAUCUCCUCCUGUCGCAGCGUCUGACGCAGGCCUGAAAUCUGGGGCAGAUGGAUUUUUCAGCUCAUCUCGUCACUCUCCUCUACCUGGGCAGACGCAUGAGUCAGCCUUGGGAACAGCUCUGAUCUUCUCACCCUGCACCCCGACAAAGGUGAAUUAUGCUCCAGUGAUAACCCCUGGUUACCUACGGUACGUAAACCAGUCAAGACUUCAGAGAGCUCCGUAAUAUCUAUGCACAAAAGGUCUUGGUAUAAAUUCCUUCCAUCUAAAAUCAUUACCACAUUGCUUGCUUCUAUUUUGGGAUUUCUUAUGUUCCUGGAGAAGACCCACCUUUCACACCAGCCGUUUCAUCAUCUAACUAUAGUUAAGACUUCUUCCAAUCACACACUUUCCUCCAUCAUGGAAUAUGAAGGAUACGAAUUAAAUGAACCUUAUUAAAUGCAGUGCCACGCAUUUGGAAUUUGUAGCAUUUGACAGAAGCUGAAAUGAAAUUUACUUGUUGCUCAGAUAAUUGUGUAUUGUGUACAUUACUAGACUGAACACUUUUGUAGGAAGGGUGAAUUUAAAGUGUUUAACAGGAAAACUGUUUUAAACACCCUCCAGCACUUUAAAAUGUCACAUUGCACCCAAACAACUGAUUCCAGGUACGCAUAAAUCUUCUGUGUUCACAAAACAAGUCUGCAAGGGUUUCUGGUGGGCGGCUGUCCUUUAGCCUCCUAUUUAUUUACUGCAAUAAAACUAUGUAAAAACCCUAUCCUUCACCCCUUUCGCUAAUUUACUUUGGUCUUUUCUACGAUGGUCUAAAAAGAAAUGUUUUACUUUAUGACUUUACCCUUCAAUAAGGUAUAUUCUUGGUGCCACAACUGAAUUCUGCUUCCUAAGUCACAGAAAGAAAAUGUUUUCCAAAUUCUUUCCAUACUUCCUGUAGGUGGGACACAAAUUGCAAGAGAAAAAAAUCCUGGAGGCUCAGAACCAGAUAGGCCUUUCUUUCUGGAAGAGUAGUUUCAUUCUCCGAGCUCUGGUGCUUUGAGGCUCACAUCAUGAUCUCUGGGGAGAUGAGCAGAACCCAGCCUCUCGUGUGUUGGUUAAGGGAGCGCUAGCUGCUGUAACAGAAAAAUGCCUACGUCCUGGCAGGCUUACGUACUGAAAGUUUAUAUCUCGAUCACGUAACAGGCAAAGCUGACACUUCUGGUUGAGUAGCUCUCCUCCACGAUGUGACCCAAGGGCUCCUUUCGUCUUGUGGCUCCAUCAAGUUCAACAUGUGGCUCCAACAUGGUCCCAAGAGUUGACUCAUUACAGCCAGGUGGGAAGAGAAAAGUCCAUGACAGACUGCACGUGGGUUUAUGAUCCAGGCCUGGAAUUGGUGCGCAUCAAUUCCGCUUAUUUUCUACUGACCAGAGCAGGACUGAUGGCGGACCAUGGCCACACACCCCUGCAAGGACUUGGACACGUAUUAUAGCUGUGUGCUGGUGUUUGGGUGAACAUGUAACAAUUUCUGCCUUCUGUGGUUGGAGUCAAGAACUUUUGACUCCAGCAGUGGCCAGGCUCUCGCUCUGAAGGUACUGGGGAUGCUCAUUGGGGCAGGCCCCCAGAGACUGAGUAAAUUCUGUUAUUAAAUUAA